rnacentral:rRNA from 1 species
GACGAACGCUGGCGGCGUGCUUAACACAUGCAAGUCGAACGGAAAGGCCCCUUUGGGGGUACUCGAGUGGCGAACGGGUGAGUAACACGUGAGUAACCUGCCCUUGACUUCGGGAUAACUUCAGGAAACUGGGGCUAAUACCGGAUAGGAAUCCUUGCUGCAUGGUGGGGGUUGGAAAGCUUCGGCGGUUUUGGAUGGACUCGCGGCUUAUCAGCUUGUUGGUGGGGUAGUGGCUUACCAAGGCUUUGACGGGUAGCCGGCCUGAGAGGGCGACCGGCCACAUUGGGACUGAGAUACGGCCCAGACUCCUACGGGAGGCAGCAGGGGGGAAUAUUGCACAAUGGGCGGAAGCCUGAUGCAGCAACGCCGCGUGCGGGAUGACGGCCUUCGGGUUGUAAACCGCUUUCAGCAGGGGCGAAGCUUGUGGUGACGGUACCUGCAGAAGAAGCACCGGCUAACUACGUG